UGGGGAAUUUUUCGCAAUGGGGGAAACCCUGACGAAGCAACGCCGCGUGGAGGAUGAAGGCCCUCGGGUCGUAAACUCCUGUCAAUCGGGACGAAAGCAGUCGGCUUAAUACGCCGUUCUGUUGACUGUACCGGUGGAGGAAGCUCCGGCUAACUCUGUGCCAGCAGCCGCGGUAAUACAGAGGGAGCAAGCGUUGUUCGGAAUUACUGGGCGUAAAGGGCGCGUAGGCGGUCUGGCAAGUCCCGCGUGAAAUCCCCCGGCUCAACUGGGGAACUGCACGGGAAACUGCCAGUCUUGAGUUCGGGAGAGGGAAGCGGAAUUCCGGGUGUAGCGGUGAAAUGCGCAGAUAUCCGGAGGAACAUCGGUGGCGAAGGCGGCUUCCUGGACCGACACUGACGCUGAGGCGCGAAAGCCAGGGGAGCAAACGGGAUUAGAUACCCCCGUAGUCC
rnacentral:rRNA from 1 species